rnacentral:rRNA from 1 species
AUUGAACGCUGGCGGCAGGCCUAACACAUGCAAGUCGAACGAGUGGCGGACGGGUGAGUAAUGUCUGGGAAACUGCCCGAUGGAGGGGGAUAACUCCUGGAAACGGUAGCUAAUACCGCAUACCAUCGGAUGUGCCCCGAGGGGAUUAGCUAGUAGGUGGGGUAACGGCUAACCUAGGCGACGAGCCCUAGCUGGUCUGAGAGGAUGACCAGCCACACUGGAACUGAGACACGGUCCAGACUCCGACGGGAGGCAGCAGUGGGGAAUAUUGCACAAUGGGCGCAAGCCUGAUUCAGCCAUGCCGCGUGUAUGAAGAAGGCCUUCGGGUUGUAAAGUACUUUCAGCGAGGAGGCGUUACUCGCAGAAGAAGCACCGGCUAACUCCGUGCCAGCAGCCGCGGUAAUAC